ACGAGGCUGCGCGACCCGGCAGGAGACAGCAUCCCCGGGGCCUUAUCGAUCCGAACGGGGGCUGUACCUGAGGCGGCUCGUGGGCCGCCCCACACGGCACCCACCUACAGUGUAGGUUUCCCGGGAUCGAUUCUCCACCGGUCGAGGUGGCUUCGUC
rnacentral:other from 1 species